CCGACGGUGAGGGGUGAAAGCUGGGGGCACGAACCGGAUUAGAUACCCGGGUAGUCCCAGCCGUAAACGAUGCUCGCUAGGUGUCAGGCAUGGCGCGACCGUGUCUGGUGCCGCAGGGAAGCCGUGAAGCGAGCCACCUGGGAAGUACGGCCGCAAGGCUGAAACUUAAAGGAAUUGGCGGGGGAGCACAACAACGGGUGGAGCCUGCGGUUUAAUUGGACUCAACGCCGGACAACUCACCGGGGGCGACAGCAAUAUGUAGGCCAAGCUGAAGACUUUGCCUGAAUCGCUGAGAGGAGGUGCAUGGCCGUCGCCAGUUCGUACUGUGAAGCAUCCUGUUAAGUC
rnacentral:rRNA from 1 species